rnacentral:lncRNA from 1 species
GUCACAUUCUGAGGCCCCAGGUGGACAGGGCUCUGCUAAACUCCUCGCUGCAUUUAAAAGGUAUUUCAAAGCCUGUGGCUCAGAGAUGAACCGAGGAGAGAGAGUGAAGCAACUGUUGUGCGACAUGUCUGCAGUACAGUGUUGAGCACUGAGCAAGGGCCUCAGAGACCAGGAGGAGAGAGAGAGUUGACCUCUGCUCAUUCCCUGUGGGAGCAAGAGGAGGAGAAGGAAGGGGAAGAGUGGGAGGAGGAGGAAGAGAGAGCAAGCUGAAGCACUGAGGAACCAGGUGGACCUGGGCUCUGAGGUCCUUGGGGAUGUGAGGACACAGAUGACCAGAAGGCCUCUCAGAGAUAGGACUGUGACGGAACCACCCAGGACCCACCCCAGGAGGGAAGAUUAGUGCUGAGCUAACAUCUGCUGCCAAUCAUCUUCUUUCUGCUGAGGAAGACUGGCCCUGAGCUAACAUCUGUGCCCAUCUCCCUCUACUUUAUAUAUGGGAUGCCUACCACAGCAUGGCUUGCCAAGUGGUGCCAUGCCCACACCUGGGAUCCGAACUGGCGAAGCCUGGGCCACCAAAGCAGAACAUGCAAACUUAAUUGCUGCACCACCAGGCUGGCCCCCACCUUUGGUGUUUUUUUGAUGGUGAACCUUAAAGUGCUCAUUGUAUCAAUUUAUCGGGACCUGCCUAUACCAAUGACUACUAUUUGUAGACAGGAAACAAACAACAACCAGAGAUUGCCAGGAUCCUGGAGUUAUUGGCAUCCACUUGCCUUUCCCUCGCCUUUUGCUGUUUUGGGGUUCCUGCCUCAUGAGAGCUAUAGCUGGAGGUCCAAGAAAGCAACUUGCACGCUUUGGGUGGGAAAAGCUUUUGGCCUUCACAAGGGGAAACGCCCCAGCGAACGUGUGGUUUUCCUCCAUAGCUAAGUUGAGCACAACAUGUUAAGAAAUAUUGCCCAAAACCUUUCCUAUCAGAAGCAUUUAAGUUAUUCUUAAACAGUUUUGACAACAGCAUAUUUUACCUCGAAGCCAUAACCAUGCAUUAUUUAGAUAACAGAUUUCUGCUGAAUUCCAUCCCCUUUCUUGUCCUAAAUGUUGUAAUGUAUUGGGUAUUUAAGAACACACGCAAGAACGUUAGCCACAGGACUAUGUGUCCAACCUACUCUGUAAAAUGCUCCUAUUAUCAAAAUGUAUGCUUCUGAGUUACAAAAUAGUUUUUCCCUUUUAGAUGGUAUGCAGAUUGCCAGGGAAUAAUGCCUUUUAUUGUUAACCUUUGUUAAGUAAUAGUAGCAUUUGUUUCCGUUAAAACAUGACUAUUUCUGUGUAACAUUUAUUGCAUAAAAAUAGAACAACGUUGACAAUUUGCAGCCCCUCUUCUUGCCAGCUCUUCCCCUAGAUGUCUGGAAGACAAACGUACUUUUUCAGUGGAAUCUAGAAUUUGUUUUUCAAAGAAUAAAACAAAAAAAAAUAA